rnacentral:lncRNA from 7 species
CGGUGCUCGCACCAGGACGGCUCUGCAGAGCGUCUGGGGGAGUCUGCUAGCCCGGCUCCUUGCAUCUGCACCUCCUCUCCUCCCAUCCUCUGUCUGUGUCCGCGUUAGAAUGCAGUGCAGAGGCAGCAGCAUCAGUGAUCAAACGUAUGUGGAUGUGUUGCACACAACAGGACUGUGAGCUCGUGCAUUGAAUUCUUCCAGUGAGAGACAUGAUGGUUCAGGUCUCCAGAUGGCUGUGACGUAAAGAAGAAGCAUCCUGCACGGAUUUCUUAAGAACAAACAGUCCCUAUUUGCCUUAAAGAGGAAUGCUCACGACGCUCCAAUUAACGCAAUCAGAGCCGGGCUCCGUGCCGGCACUCCGCCUUCCGCGCAGGAACCACGGGAGGAGGUGCAGCACGGCACAAACCCCAUUCCACACUACGGCCGAGCAGAAUUCACGCGGAGAGGAACCACGACGCGGCAGCUCGCGGCGGGCAGCGCUCCCGCAGCGUCCCGCUCCCGCAGCCAGGAGAGCCGCUUCCCAUAGAGCUGCCCUUAUCGUCCCUCUGGUGACCGCGGUGCCGCCGUACUGGCAACCCGGCGGUACUGCUGCUGGCAUGCAAGGGGAUGUCAGCACGAAUCCGAACUGUGCAAUAAGAGCAGGAGAACUAUCGAGAAUACAGCAUCUCAAGGAAAAACAAAUGAAACACGUACUCGGUCAGUAAUCACACACGGAAGCAACGCGCGCCGCUAAGCACCACGUAUUUAUAACAUCUAUAUGUAACACAUAGAGCACCAUCCGGCUUUAAUAAGGAAAAACAAAUUACCGUGUCGUGCCUUGGAUGUCAUUCCCUGUGCUCUGUCUGCGUUGUUUAAAUCUGAAAAACAGCCACAAAAAGAAGCAAAGCGUCAUGAUUU